AGUAGUUGUGGUUCUGUAAAAGGGUUGGAUCCGACGCCUUUUGGAGGCUACUAUAGGCUCUCCUUCUCAACUCCUACUCAAUACGUCCACGACGUGCAGAACGGUAACUUGUCGCCUAGAUAUCUAAGCUUGGGUACACGGGGAAACCCACUCCCUUGGGUGGAUGGACGGCAAGGCUGAAUUGAGAGGU
rnacentral:ribozyme from 1 species